GGAUUGUGGCUCAGUGGUAGAGUGCUUUCCUAGCAUGAUUGAGGCACUGGGUUCAAUUCUCAGCACCA
rnacentral:tRNA from 1 species